CAGAUUUACCAGCUUGUUUACUGCUUCUCUUGAUGAAGGAGAACAGGCUAACCCAACAGCCAGAGGCAGGAACUAUAGCAAAAAAUGUCGGGGGAACUCCCAAUCUAUCAUUUCACUGGUGCCAGUAAUUCAGCAAGAUCCAUGGCACUACAGCAUUUGCUAUGCUUAAACAAACAUCCAGUUAAACUUGAUGGUGGUGUAGACAAUGGAUGCUCAGCAGAGAACCUGACAUCACUCCUGAAGUGGCAGAAAUGCGUUGUUCACUUACCUUCCUGAAAGAAUGGUUUAAUAAUUCAUCUAGAAGUAUUUUCCCUCAGAAAAUAAUUCACUGGUGAAUAAUGAGAGAAUGGUUUCAGUGUUAUACAAGAGCAUGUGCUCUGUGCAAUUGUUAGAGGGAGAAAAUCACUUCAGCGAGGGCUCAGCCCAAGCAUUCUACACCAUUACGUUUGAUGGUGCCACUCAAAGCAGUGCCAUACAGUCUUGACCACGCGAAACAAGAAGCCAUAAAGCCCCAUGCUCUUGGCAGGCAAGGGGGAUUACUUUAAAUCUGAGGAUAAUUUUUUUUUUCAGGAAAAACUGAAGGCUGAUUUAUUUUACAGAGAUCUCUGUGCUACAUUGCCUGUGCUUGUUUGCGUGCAGCUUGCUCAUGUCAUGUGCUGGACCACACUGGGGACAUAGAUACAUCCUAAUGGCACAUAUAAGGAGAGUUCUUUCCAGGAAGGAAGGACAACAGGAGGUUUGAGAAAGAAGCUCCACACAGCUCUGGUCCAAAGUCACAGAAGGAGAGGAACCAGAAAGAAGGGAAGAACCAGGAUCUCAAAACUAUUCAGUCACAGCAGCGCUUCCUGAGCCGAGUCUCACAUCAUGUGGAAUACCCUGAUUUGAUCUAACUGCAAGGAACAGUUUCCCACUUUUAUACAUGGAGGUAUUUUGGAAGAGGGUUUUGUUUUUGUUUUAAAUGCAACCCUGCUGUUCCAGCUCACAUUUUGUUUUCCCUAAGAGAAAAGAAAAACAACUGGAAAAUGGAUAAGAACUGCAUUGUUCCAAUCCCUACUUUCUGCCAUUUCAGUUAAUUACUGUAUUGCAGAAGUUGGUGACACUUUUCAAGAAACUGAAGUGAGCUGACCAUUGUGAAGGAAGAGAGGCUGACAGCAGAAGAGAGAGGCAAAGGGAUAAUGCCCCAGAGGCAGAAAAAAGCCAUGAGCAAAUUGAAUUACCACAACCCAUCCCAGUGAGUCCUCUGCCCUCUCUUGUCUACCUCACUUUGCUCAUUUAACCUAAAGAAAGACUUGUAGUACUGUAAAAGAGUAAAAUCUAUCCCUAUAACAGACAGUGUGACUUAGACGCAUGAGGACAGCCUUUGGGCCUUGUAUUCCAGCUAUACAGGCAGCACUUCCAUGUGGGAGCAAGGCGGAUGUGGUACCCACCCUAUCUGCAGGACAUAGGCUGCAGCCAUCUAUGCCCUUGUGGCCCUAUCUUGGCUUGAUGAAUUCCUCUCCACCUCAUCCUCUAUCUUGUCAGUGCUGAGCAUCAUGAUGUUAAGCCUAUUGGAAUACUUGUCUUAAAUCACAUGGAAAUAUAAAGCUUCUUCUCACAGGUGAAAUUCAGAGGCAAACACAAAGACCUGCCUGGUGCUUACAAGCUUCAUUACAACUUGUGCUGGCCAUGAUGGUCUCCCACUCCAAAGGAAGUGCCUAUAGAGCUGUGCAAAACUCAUCCCAUCCUGCUGAGAAUUUUCAGAUCUCAGAUUUUGCUUUGUCACCAACACAAAGAAAGCCGACCAGCUCUCCUCAGUGCCUGUGCCUGUUCAGGCUGCUCCCCUUAUUGAUGGGAGAAGGUGCUUCUGCUGAGGGACCUGUCUCACUGGAGGUAAAGAUGGAUGCAGAUCAAGCUGAUGUCAAGACUCCCAGAGCCCUAGUUUUCCUCUAGCUUCUGCUCCUGACAGCUGGGAGGGAAUGGGGAGCAGCCACCCCAGAACACUGAGUAAUUAUUUGCCUCUCUUGAACAAAUUGGAAGGAAGCUAGACAUUUUGUGAUGGAAAUUUUUCAGCUUCCCAUACAUUCCUCAGUAAAGUCAUGCCAUCCAUGUGGAAAGUUUUGAUUGUGACUCGUCAAUGAAGAAACAUGCCAUUGAGUAAUUGCUGUCCUGGCUUUAUUUGCAGUUGUCCUUCUUUUUGAACAUUAAUGAGAAAGCAACCUUAUGAGUCAGAAGCAGUUGGUGGGAGAGAACUUAACUGAGCUUACCUUUACUUCUUGUACUUGUAACUCAGAUAAGAUUCGAUGACCUCUUUCUCUUCUGUCUGCCUAGACCAUUCCCCAUCUCCAGCUGUGGACUAGCAGAUAGCUAGAAAUGGGUUGAUGCUCAUCUUAACCAAAACAGAGAUGUCAG
ensembl:lncRNA